rnacentral:tRNA from 1 species
UAUUUACUGUGCAAUUCAGUUUAAUUUGAAUAAUAAUUUUCUUACUAUUUUUAUUUGUUUUAUUUAUU